CGCCUCUUGAAUAUCUAUAAGAGGUCCAGCCUGCCCAGUGACUCUGUUCAACGGCCGCGGUAUCCUAACCGUGCGAAGGUAGCGUAAUCACUUGUUCUUUAAAUGAGGACUUGUAUGAACGGCACCACGAGGGUUAUACUGUCUCCUCUCUCUAAUCAGUGAAACUAAUCUCCCCGUGAAGAAGCGGGGAUAAGAAUAUAAGACGAGAAGACCCUAUGGAGCUUUAAACUUAAUGACAAAUACUAGCUACGUAUUAACUUUCAGAAAAUUAACUAUCACUUUAGUUUUAUGAUCAUUAGUUUUAGGUUGGGGUGACCACGGAGUAAAAAUUAACCUCCGUAUUGAAUGGGAUUUCCCUGAGCCAAGAGCCACGACUCCAAACACCAACAAAUUGACAUUAAUUGACCCAAUAUUUUGAUCAACGAACCAAGUUACCCUAGGGAUAACAGCGCAAUCCACUUCAAGAGCCCCUAUCGACAAGUGGGUUUACGACCUCGAUGUUGGAUCAGGGUAUCCCAGUGGUGCAGCCGCUACUAAAGGUUCGUUUGUUCAACGAUUAAAACCCU
rnacentral:rRNA from 1 species